AAUUUGAUGGCUAACACAUAUGACAAACCCUGGAGCACACCAGACUCAGAGAAAGCAGACUCCUGAGGAAGCUGAGUCAUGCCUGCUCGAGAGCCAGUGGUCCCAUGUGCACUUUUCCUCCAAUAGGGCCUGGGUACUGUUGCCAUGGUGAUAAUGGCUGUACGGUGCCAUUGUUGAUCCACCAACAGUCAGAGAAGCUCUGCAGUCAAGAUACUGUCUAGCAGAUGGCACAGUUUCUGAUGGAUACUAAGUAUGGCUACAGAA
ensembl:scaRNA small Cajal body-specific RNA 13